ACGCUAAUACCGCAUACGCCCUGAGGGGGAAAGUGGGGGACCGCAAGGCCUCACGCUAUACGAGCGGCCGAUGUCGGAUUAGCUAGUUGGUAGGGUAAAGGCCUACCAAGGCGACGAUCCGUAGCGGGUCUGAGAGGAUGAUCCGCCACACUGGGACUGAGACACGGCCCAGACUCCUACGGGAGGCAGCAGUGGGGAAUUUUGGACAAUGGGCGCAAGCCUGAUCCAGCCAUGCCGCGUGAGUGAAGAAGGCCUUCGGGUUGUAAAGCUCUUUCAGACGGAAAGAAAUCGGUGUGUCUA
rnacentral:rRNA from 1 species